AUAGAACCGAAACCAUUUCGUACUGAGAAACUCUGCAAAAGGGUGAAGCAAAAUGCAAAGAAACAAGCAUGCGAUAUGACGUGAAACGUUUAAAAAUUCCACCAGAGGACAAUUGACAGUGGCUUAUUUGCAAAGUUCCUGCUACGCUGUCCUCUUCCUACGCCCCCUGCUGUAUUGAAAUCGGCCAUUAUGUUGGAUGUUGUCCUAUUUUGGUAAUCGGACGGCCCCUAAAGCUAGACUUAGAACUGACUCGUCUUGUGCUUGUCAGUGGGAUACACAUAGCAUGAAACUGACAGGGUGCUGCAGUUACACAUCGCUGAUUGGAGUCCAGCGCUCUGCUGCCAGUUUGAAGUUCGUGCGUCGGGUUUUCGGUUGUGAAUUAGUACAACUGAUUUGCAUUCCCGGAAAGAGCAGGGGAUGCUGAGGAGGAGCUGAGGAACGUUCCUUUGAAGUCUCCCAUGUGGGCCAGAGGAAGCUGGAUCGGGAGAACUGCAUCGCCGCUGAAGGCAGAGGCUGCCGCAGCGGCUCCGCUCGCAACAUGAACGCCGACCGGGAGACGGCAGGAGCCCCGACGCCCGCUGAAGGAGACGCCGGGACACUGCUCUCCCCGGCCUCCAGCAGCGUGCCAGCCGGCACUUACUGGCAGGACCACACGGCGGCUGCCACUUGCGCCCCGCCCUGGUACCGGCAGCUCGCCUCAAGAACCGGCCGACCACGGUGGGUAUGUGAUGAACGAGGCGGCUCAGCUGCAGCUGGCCGAGAGCUUGGCGCUGCAGUGCUUGAGGGAAGCGUGCGAGAGUGUCAGCGCCGACCUGCAGACCGUGCCCUUCGAGAAGCUGGACUUCGGAGAGACCGCCGUCCUGGACUAUUUUUAUAACGCAGAUAUCGCUGUGGUGGAGAUGAGUGAUGCUUUCCGUCAGCCUUCCCUGUUCUACCAUCUUGGAGUGCGAGAGAGUUUCAGCAUGGCAAAUAAUAUCAUUUUAUAUUGUGAUACAAAUUCAGACACACUUCAGUCACUUCAGGAAAUAAUAUGUCAGAAGAAAAAUACAUCAUGUGGAAACUACAGCUUUAUACCAUAUAUGGUGACUCCACACAACAAGGUUUACUGUUGUGAGAGCAGCUACAUGAAGGGCUUGAGUGAGCUAAUGCAGCCGAAUUUUGAGUUGUUGCUUGGGCCUAUCUGCAUGCCAUUAGUGGAUCGCUUUGUUCAAUUGCUGAAGGUUGCACACAUCAGCUGCUGUCAGUACUUUAGGGAAACCAUCCUGAAUGACAUCAGGAAGGCCCGUGAGCUUUACAGUGGUAAAGAAUUGGCCGCAGAGCUAGGAAGAAUAAGAAAACGCCUGGACAAUGUUGAAGUUCUCUCUGCUGACAUUAUCAUUAAUUUGCUUCUUUCCUACCGAGAUAUUCAGGACUAUAAUGCCAUUGUAACAUUGGUAGAGACUUUGGAGAGACUUCCAACCUGUGAUCUGGUGGACAAUCUUCACAUCAAAUUUCAUUAUGCCUUUGCACUGAAUCGGAGAAAUCUUUCAGGAGACCGACAAAGUGCCAUUGCUAUACUACUGCCAAUGGUGCAGUCAGAAGAGCAGGUUCCUUCGGACAUAUAUUGCCUCUUGGGAAGGAUCUACAAAGACAUGUUUCUAGACUCUGGCUUCCAAGAUACAGAAAGCCGAGACAAUGGUGCUUACUGGUACGGAAAGGCUUUUGAAUCUGAGCCAACGAUACAUUCUGGGAUAAAUUUAGCCGUACUUCUUCUCGCAGCAGGACAUCAGUUUGACACAUCCUUUGAACUGCACAAAACUGGUGUGAAACUCAGCAGCCUACUGGGGAAGAAGGGAAACUUGGAAAAAAUACAGAGUUACUGGGAUGUGGGGUUUUUCCUUGGUGCCAGUAUGUUAGCAAAUGAUCCUCUCCGAGUUAUUAUGGCUUCUGAGAAGCUCUUUAAACUCAAGGCACCUGCCUGGUAUUUGAAGUCUGUUGUACAAACCAUUCAUAUAUAUCAACGAUUUAAGAAGCAGACUCCAGAGCAGCCCUCUGAAUGUCAGGACCUGAUGGACUUCUGGAUGGAGUUCAUUGUCGAAGCCACCAAUGAAGUUGUGUCCUUGGUCCGAUUUCCUGUUUUAAUCUUGGAGCCAACCAAAGUCUUCCAGCCUGCAUAUUUAUCCAUUAACAAUGAGGCAGAAGAGAAGACCGUGUCUAUUUGGCAUGUAUCACCAAGUGAUAAGAAUGCCAUAUAUGAGUGGAACUUCAAUGCUUCUUCAAUCAGGGGUGUGAGUGUUUCCAAAUGUGAUGAACGUUGUUGCUUCUUGUAUGUUCUACAUAAUUCAGAUGACUUUCAGAUAUACUUUUGCUCAGAGCUUCAUUGCAAAAGAUUCUGUGAAAUGGUGAAUUCUAUAACAGACGAGGUAGGAAAAGGUGCAGAAGAAGGAGACUCUGAGGGAGAUGCGUUGGAGUACGAUUAUGAAUAUGAUGAGAAUGGUGAGAAGGUUGUACUGGGUAAAGGCACAUUUGGAGUCGUCUAUGCUGGUAGAGACCUGAGCAAUCAAGUCAGAAUUGCCAUCAAAGAAAUCCCAGAAAGAGACAGCAGAUACUCGCAGCCCCUCCAUGAAGAAAUUGCUCUUCAUAAGCACCUCAAGCACAAAAACAUUGUGCAAUACCUGGGCUCCAUUAGUGAAAGUGGCUUCAUUAAGAUCUUUAUGGAGCAAGUUCCUGGAGGCAGCCUUUCUGCUCUCUUACGAUCGAAAUGGGGCCCUUUAAAGGAUAAUGAACAGACCAUUGGAUUUUAUACCAAACAGAUCCUGGAAGGACUGAAAUACCUUCAUGACAAUCAAAUAGCACAUCGAGACAUUAAGGGCGAUAAUGUGCUGAUCAACACCUACAGUGGGAUCUUAAAAAUUUCAGAUUUUGGUACCUCAAAAAGACUGGCAGGAAUCAAUCCUUGUGCUGAAACAUUCACAGGAACGCUUCAGUACAUGGCCCCUGAGAUAAUAGACAAAGGACCGAGAGGUUAUGGGAAACCUGCUGACAUCUGGUCACUGGGAUGUACAAUUAUUGAGAUGGCCACAGGGAAACCUCCAUUUUAUGAACUGGGAGAACCUCAGGCUGCUAUGUUUAAGGUUGGAAUGUUUAAAAUUCAUCCAGAUAUUCCAGAAUCCAUGUCACCAGAAGCCAAAGAGUUCAUUCUUCGUUGCUUUGAACCAGAACCCGAUGCACGUGCUACUGCUGCAGAGUUGCUAUCAGACGAGUUCCUGAAGGUUACCAGCAAGAAGAAAAAGACCCCAUUAAAACAACAAGAUUAUCUUCGCAGUAUAUCCCUUCCGGUUCCAGUUGUUGUGGAGGAAUUGAGUAGUGGCAGUGAAUUUGGCUCAGUAUCACCAGAUUCUGACUUAAAGCAGGAUCCAUUCUUUUUCAAAGUAAGGGCAAAAUCCUGCAUUGAAAAGGAGAGCAAACCAACAAGACCUUUGCUUCUCAGUAUCCCUGAUGACCAUUUUGAAGAUCACAGUGCACCACCAUCACCUGAGGAGAAGGAUGCCGGGUUCUUCAUGCUGAAGAAAGACAGUGAGAGGAGGGCCACUUUACACCGGAUUCUCUCAGAGGAUCAGGACAAGGUUGUGAGGAACUUGCUUGAAUCUCUGAUGCAGGGUUCUGAAGUACCAAAACUGAAAUCCGAGCACAUCUGCACACUUGUUGUUAGUUUAAGGGAGUUUGUGAGAUCAACUGAUCGCAAAAUCAUCUCAGCCACACUCUCUAGGCUGAAGUUAGAGUUGGACUUUGACAACCACGCCAUUAACCAAAUUCAAGUGGUGCUGUUUGGUUUCCAAGAAGCUGUAAAUAAAGUCUUGAGAACUCACAAUAUUAAACCUCACUGGAUGUUUGCUUUGGACAACAUCAUUCGCAAAGCUGUGCAGACAGCUAUUACUAUUCUUGUUCCUGAACUGAGACCACAUUUCAGCCUUGCAUCUGGGAGUGAUGCUGCAGACCAAGAAGAAGCAGAUGUUGAGGAUGAUGAUGAUGAAAAUCACAAUGAGCCAUCCCGCUGUGAAAUUCAGCAGCCGAUUGCUGUGAAUGAGGACCGAAUACCAACUUCGGGUGUGAGCACCCUUAGUUCAACAAUAUCACAUGACUCUCAGUAUAUACACAGAUCUCUGACAGUACAAUUGGGAAGGCUUAAAUUAGAAACCAGCAGACUUUUAGAAGAGCUCAUUCAGAAAGAAAAGGACUAUCAGAUCCUUCUUCAUCAAGCCAUUGAAGAUAAGGAACAAGAAAUUAAAUUGCUCAAACUGAAGUCACAGCCAAUAGACUUACCUAUUCUGUCAGUAUGUCACUAUGAUUCUUCUCCAGUAAACUCUGGAGACCCUGAACUUAUUAGCUGGUUGAAAGAACAUGGAGCUGAUGAAGAUACAAUAGAUAAGUUUGUGGCAGAUGAUUAUAAUCUGACGGAUGUUCUCAACUACAUGACAAGAGAUGAUCUGAAAUGCUUGAGGUUAAGGAGGCUCAGUGGGCUGGAGACUUUUCACUGAGUGACAGAGUUCCUACAAGUCAAGGCAUUGUUGGUUGCACUCGUGUCAACAUUGGAUUUUCUCACAUCAACCUUAUGGCCUUCAUGACAUGUGAAGUCUUCAAUCCCAUUAAUAAUCAGGGGUGGAAUGCUUUGCAAAUUGUGGAAAGCAAUCGUUGAGAACAGAAAAAAAAAUGAAUCUACUUCCCCACUAGGUCACAUGUAAGGAACUUGUAAUGGGACACACAAGAGCAUCUCUCAAUGAAAUACUAGCACUUUAAAAUAAAUUUGACAAUGUAAACAUGUAGGUUGUUUAUGAGUCUGCUGCAAUAAGCACUCUGUAUCUGAACUGCUGACAAAUGUAUGUGUGUUGCCAACAGCUGAGAAAUUUAGCUGGUUGUUUUUAUUCAAAAUAACCACGUUCAAUGAAGUGAUUUUUGGUAUUUAAGGAGUAAUUUUCCAACAUUUAGAGUUCACUACUGGGGACACUUGUCCACAGUGAAUGUACAUGGAUACCUGUAAGCAGGCUGUAAAUGAUUUGCCAGCUCUUAAAUAAAGGAUGUGCAGACAUUCUGAAGUUACAAAGUAUGUAUGCUCCCAAUGGGUGAGACUCUAUGCUGAGAACACAAAAUCUGAUGACAUUUAGGGUUCUAUUUUUUAACUUUUCUCUUAAAAAUGGGGGGAAACAAUUGUGCACUAAAUUCUGUUUUUAUACUUUUUUUUUGUUGUUAUUGGAUGGCAUUUUGCUGAACUACUGUUAAUGUAUGUUGCGCAGAACUGCACAUAUUAUAACUUUUUUAUGAUGUCUGGAAUGUAGCCCACUGUCUUAAGUUGUCUUAAUAUUUUUCUGCAGUUGAACAAUCUGAAUUACUGUAGUAAAUUUUGUAAAUGUACUAAUGUUAUACGUAAUUGUCCCAGUUUUUGUAAUGUAAAUUAUAUACUGUAGCUUUAUAUUGUAUAAAUGCAGUUAAUCCUGUUUCCCUUUGAUGUUGAAACAUGUUUAAAUCAUCAUAUUAUGAUCCACUGUUCAUUGUUGAUCUUUGUGCCACAAAUGGCUUGUUCUAAAGCUAAAAAUCUUUGACAGCCACUUUUAGAAAUAAAUUAAAGAAAAUUACAAA